rnacentral:rRNA from 1 species
ACGCUCGACACCUACGGAGGCAGCAGUGAGGAAUAUUGGUCAAUGGACGCAAGUCUGAACCAGCCAUGCCGCGUGCAGGAUGACGGCUCUAUGAGUUGUAAACUGCUUUUGUACGAGGGUAAACGCAGAUACGUGUAUCUGUCUGAAAGUAUCGUACGAAUAAGGAUCGGCUAACUCCGUGCCAGCAGCCGACGGUAAUCUGGAGGCCGGGCUGGACAAGGC